rnacentral:rRNA from 1 species
GAGCAAGCGGACCUCAUAAAGUGCGUCGUAGUCCGGAUUGGAGUCUGCAACUCGACUCCAUGAAGUCGGAAUCGCUAGUAAUCGUGGAUCAGAAUGCCACGGUGAAUACGUUCCCGGGCCUUGUACACACCGCCCGUCACACCAUGGGAGUGGGUUGCAAAAGAAGUAGGUAGCUUAACCUUCGGGAGGGCGCUUACCACUUUGUGAUUCAUGACUGGGGUGAAGUCGUAACAAGGUAACCGUAGGGGAACCUGC